rnacentral:rRNA from 1 species
UACAGAGGUCCCAAGCGUUGUUCGGAUUCACUGGGCGUAAAGGGUGCGUAGGCGGUCGGGUAAGUCUGAUGUGAAAUCUCACAGCUUAACUGUGAAACUGCAUUGGAUACUAUUCGGCUUGAGAGUUGGAGGGGGGACUGGAAUUCUUGGUGUAGCAGUGAAAUGCGUAGAUAUCAAGAGGAACACCAGUGGCGAAGGCGGCGAUCUGGGUAGAUACUGACGCUGAGGUGCGAAAGCGUGGGGAGCAAACAGG